AAACUUUCAACAACGGAUCUCUUGGCUCUGGCAUCGAUGAAGAACGCAGCGAAAUGCGAUAAGUAAUGUGAAUUGCAGAAUCCAGUGAAUCAUCGAAUCUCUGAACGCACAUUGCGCCCGCCAGCAUUCUGGCGGGCAUGCCUGUUCGAGCGUCAUUUC
rnacentral:rRNA from 1 species